UGUGCUGUACAGUAGGACCUUGUUGUUUAUCCAUUCUAUAUAUAAUAGUUUGCAUCUGCUAACCCCAAAUUCCUAAUCCAUCCCUCCUCACCACCCCACCUUGGCAACCACAUGGCUGUUCUCUAUCUGUGAGUCUGUUUCUGUUUCGUGGAUAAGUUCACGUGUGUCAUAUUUUAGAUUCCACAUAUAAGUGAUGUCAUAUGGUACCACUUGAGUAAGUGACAACAGUGGCAUCUGCUGCCCCACCCAACUCUGCCUCAGGCCUGGGUCACCUCUGUGUCCCAAGGUUCACCCUCUUCCCCAGUUCUGGCUGCCCAGUUCCAGUGCUACACUGUGGCUUGGAGUGAAUGGGGCUGGAGAAUAGGCUCUGCUUGGGCUGGGGUUGUGUGAUGAGGUGGUCCCAGGAAGAACCUCAGCCGUUAGAGCGCACCUCUCUCUGCACUGCCUUUGGGGCCAACACUUGAGCUCCUCACAACUGGACUCCAGGCUUCUCCGGCCCUUGUAUUUGUCACAGCGUCUUCCAGCCAGCUAACAGGGCUGACGUCCUCCGUCUAGGACCCCAGUACUGGGACACCCAGUCUGUGGCUCAGCCCGCUCACUCCCCAAGGCAAGUGUCCAUCGCUGCAGUCUCCCUUCUCCUCUGAGUCCCCUCCCAGGAGCACACGUCGCAACCUGAUCUCUCUUCUUCCCAUCAUACCAGAGUCUCUGAGAAUCUUUCUUACAGCCUUGGUUGUACAGCGUCCAGCUAGUUUCCAGUUCGUUUUCAGUGAGAAUUGUUCCACAUGUAGAUGUGUUUUUAAUGUGUUCCUGAUGGGGGUGAUGGUGAGCUCGACAUCCUCUUACUCUGCCACCUUGAUCUCUCCCUUUUAGAGUCCUUAUUAUUCAAAAUUCUUAUACUGCAGAUCUAGCUGUCUCUCCCCAGACUGUCAUCUUUUAGGCCACAUCUUAGGAGAUAACAAUAAAACCAUGUCAUCUGCAUAUGGUGCUUAGACACUUUUAUUUUCUGUGUUGGUUAGGGGUAAUGAGGGAGGGGGUGAAUAAUGGUAUGUAGUACACCCAAUAGUGGUAUCAGGGGCAUUAAGUUAGAAGUUAAAGAUAUUUUCUACAAUACAUUUCUGUUUUAUUUAAUCAGAAAUUAUGUGAGUCCUCAAAAGAUAGCCUGAACUAUUCAACUCCCCCAGCUGUCACAGUGCAGGUUUGGUAAGCACCCACAGUAUACAACUCCCCUGUCAUAGUGCAGGUGUGGUAAGCACCUACAGUAUACAGCUCCCCUGACUGUGACAGUGCAGGUUUGGUAAGCGCCUACAGUAUACAACACCCCCAUACUGUCACAGUGCAGGUUUGGUAACCACCUAUAGUAUACAACACCCCCAUACUGUCACAGUGCAGGUUUGGUAAGCUCCUACAGUAUACAACACCCCCAUACUGUCACAGUGCAGGUUUGGUAAGCGCCUACAGUAUACAACUCCCCUGUCACUGUGCAGAUGUGGUAAGAACCUACUGUAUACAACUCCCUCAUAUCAUCACAUUGUAGAUUUGCUAAGUGCCUACAGGUGUAGCGAUUGGUAAAAUUAAUGACACUUAGUCUUUAGCUAGGUACUAGCUAGGCUAGAGUCAGAGAUUAAAAAGAGAUAGUACAAUGUGUGAACCACUUUAUAUUAUUCCUAAAAAAUAUAUUCUUUAAGAAGAGGAGGAGCCAAGUGUAGACAGUCAUAGAAUGGUAAAGGCCAGCAGGUCCUCAUGUAGAACAUUGAUCUUAGCAGUCCAAGCUUGUAAACGGCUAAGAAGGAAACAAAGACCUUCCUUCUGCAUUUAUUUUAGAUAGAUAUUGUGCUAUUUAUGUGAUGAGGUUCUGUACACCAGUUAUAGUGAAGGAAUGAAAUUUUCAUCUAUCACUUGGAUAAACCCCACCAAUAUGAUGAGUUGAAUAAGUAGUACAUGAUACAAUUUAUAUAAUAUUUAAAAGCAAUUUUAUUUAAAUGUGCAUAUAUGUAAUAAAAAUAAAAAGCCAUGGGAAGGAAGGGGACACAUCAAUUUCAGGAUACUGAUAACACCCCUCAGUAGGUGGAGAAGGCAAUAAGAUGGGAAAAGGGUGCUCUCUCUCUUUAAUGUGUUUUUCUUGAAUCAGUUAUCUAAACCAGUAUGGCCAAAAGUUAACUUUUACUAAUUCUAGAUAUUAGGUACCUGUGUGUUCAUUAGUUUAUUCUCUGUGCUUUUCUGUUUGAAAGUUUGUCACUGUAAAAAAAUAAGUAAAUUAUAGUACACAGCAAUUAAGUGUAACACUGAAAGCAAUAAAAUAUGGUGUAUAAAGUGAUGGCCCAGCUAUAUUGGAAGAAAUAAAGUGUCAGGAUACUUCCUCCCUGGGGAGAGGACGUCAGAGCUGGAUUUUGAAAGAUAAGUGGGGAUUUAUCCCCCAAGGCAUAUGUCUCCUUGUACAUAGAGGGGUACCAGCUGUUGUACUACAGGAACUAUAAGCUCUUCGGUGUUACUAGAGCAUAUAUUAUGGGGACAGCUGAGGAAGAUGGGCAAUGGAAGUAGACAAGGCUAGAAGUACUUGAAAGGCCAGAUCCUGAAGGGCAUUGCAGUCCACAUAAGGAGCAAAGGUUCUGUCCUGAGCCUGUGGGGAGCUUGUGAGGGGUUUCAAGCAGUGCAGUGAUUAGAGAUGACACUUCGAUUUUUUUUGUGUAGCUUUCUGGAGUGUGAAGAUAGUGACUGUUAUGUAAGGUUAAAUUAAACAGUCUGUUUAAUUCGUUCCACAGUGUUUUUUUAGACUAAUGAAAUAUUGGAGAUAACUAGAAUGUCUAUAAAUGCAAAUAGUUAAUUUAAAUAUGCCAUAACUGUAAAGAAAAUACUACACAGGCAUUGAAACUGACAUGGAAUAUAUCUAUGAUUUAUUCAUUUUCAACAUUUUAUUGUAAAAUUUUUAUCAUAUGAAAAUGUUGAAAAAACUUCAGUUACCACCCAUAUGCCCACCAUCUAGAUUCUUCCAUUAAAUUAACAUUUUAUAAUCUUGCUUUAUCACUUAUUUGUCCAUCCAUUAUGUGUUUCAAAGGAAAAAAUUCGAGUCUCAACUGCAUCUUGUUGUAAUUUUUUAAAACAUAUUUGUGUAUGCAUAGCAAUCUGGGAAGAUUUAUAUAAAACUAUUAGCUUUGGUUGUCUUUGGCUGAUAGGUGAUUUUUGCUUCCCACUUAAUUCUUUGUUGUACUGUCUGAAUAUUUUACAUUGAGUGUGUGAUAUUGUAAUAAAAACUACAUUUAAAACUACA